rnacentral:rRNA from 1 species
UACGUAGGGACCAGGCGUUGUUCGGAUUUACUGGGCGUAAAGGGCGCGUAGGCGGCUUAACAAGUCACUUGUGAAAUCUCCGGGCUUAACUCGGAACGGCCAAGUGAAACUGUCAAGCUAGAGUGCAGAAGGGGCAAUCGGAAUUCUUGGUGUAGCGGUGAAAUGCGUAGAUAUCAAGAGGAACACCUGAGGUGAAGACGGGUUGCUGGGCUGACACUGACGCUGAGGCGCGAAAGCCAGGGGAGCAAACGGG